rnacentral:rRNA from 1 species
AGCAUGAACUUAGCUUGCUAAGUUUGAUGGCGACCGGCGCACGGGUGAGUAACACGUAUCCAACCUGCCGAUGACUCGGGGAUAGCCUUUCGAAAGAAAGAUUAAUACCCGAUGGCAUAGUUCUUCCGCAUGGUAGGACUAUUAAAGAAUUUCGGUCAUCGAUGGGGAUGCGUUCCAUUAGCUUGUUGGCGGGGUAACGGCCCACCAAGGCAUCGAUGGAUAGGGGUUCUGAGAGGAAGGUCCCCCACAUUGGAACUAAGACACGGUCCAAACUCCUACGGGAGGCAGCAGUGAGGAAUAUUGGUCAAUGGGCGCUAGCCUGAACCAGCCAAGUAGCGUGAAGGAUGACUGCCCUAUGGGUUGUAAACUUCUUUUAUAUGGGAAUAAAGUGCAGUAUGUAUACUGCUUUGCAUGUACCUUAUGAAUAAGGAUCGGCUAACUCCGUGCCAGCAGCCGCGGUAAUACGGAGGAUCCGAGCGUUAUCCGGAUUUAUUGGGUUUAAAGGGAGCGUAGGCGGGUUGUUAAGUCAGUUGUGAAAGUUUGCGGCUCAACCGUAAAAUUGCAGUUGAUACUGGCAUCCUUGAGUACAGUAGAGGUAGGCGGAAUUCGUGGUGUAGCGGUGAAAUGCUUAGAUAUCACGAAGAACUCCGAUUGCGAAGGCAGCCUGCUGGACUGUAACUGACGCUGAUGCUCGAAAGUGUGGGUAUCAAACA